CAACAAAGACCCAGCACAGCCAGAUAUUAAAUAAAUAAUUUUUACAAAUCAACUAGAGGGCUUUUUAAAAUCCCAGUGCCCAAGCCACACCCCAGACCAGUCAGAGUUGAGUCUCUACAGGUGCCCAGGAAUCAUUAAGUUUUUUAAACUGACUGCAUGAUUCCCAUGCACAGCCACGUUUGAGAGCUAGCAUUCUAAGCAUUCCGCACAGGAACUCGUUCAAUCCACAAACAACCUUCUGAGGCAGGUAUCAACAUAAAGCAGUGUAGCCCUUGUCCCUCCCUGAGUAUGCUUCUCUGAGGCUCACAAAGGGUGAAGAUGGAUGCUCAGAGGGAAGCAGCCCAAUCUGGAGCCCAUGGAUGAAGCACCUUGACCCCAGCAGAUUCCUGAGUGUCCAGGGUCUGACCCCGUGGUUCUCUCCACUCUCCAGCAUUCAGGGCUCCCUCACUGUGUCUGUAGAUUGUGUACACCACCCUCCUCCCACCCAGCUGGCAGCUCACAUGGUGGGGCAGGAACAAGAAAAGCUUCCUUCCUGUUCUUUCAUCUCCAAAUACAAGUUAGCAUGGGGGAUCGGGGAAUUGAAGGUGGGG
ensembl:lncRNA